CCUUAUUAAUAAAUACUGUAACAAUACGUAAAAAUUAAGCUUACUCUGCAAACACACUUAAGCAGAGCCUGAUAGGCUAAGUAUCGGCCCACCGAGAUUUAGAACUUUUGUCACUUGCUCAAAACCCAUUAAAUUAGGUUAGAACAAGUAAGAUGAUAACAAAAAUUAUAAAAAUAUAAUCCAGCCCAUCCAGUUAAACUCGGUAACUCACUGAUUUUAUUCGGACUUGCACUUCGGCGUAACUAAUUUUUAUUUGUAAAUUCUAGUUUUAACUGAUUGGGAAUUAAAUGCAACAUCAACAUCUUAUAUUGAUUUACAUUUAAUAACUAAUAAUUGGUACGAAGCAUUUUGAAUUUUUCAGAACAUAUAGGUUGUCCUCAUUUCUAACUGAUUGUGUAUAAAAUAUUAAACAAGUGAAUACUUCAGGUCACUUUCGAAUAAGUUUUUAUAUUAUUUUACCUCAUAAUUUUAAGUUCAUGGCGGGAACUAUUUCUUUCUUACAACCUCUUUGAAAUUGUAGCCGCUUGAUUAAUAUUAAUUUUUAACCUAACCAUCAAACCUCAAUAUCAUUGAUAAAUCAUAAAUGAUAAAAUAUUAAACACAAUAGACAGAAUAGAAAAUAUAAAGGGUUCUCUUCGUGUUUCAACGUUCGCCGUUCAACUACAAAUUGUAAUACCAAAUCAACCUUGUGAUAGGUUUACGAAAUUUGCAAUAAAGCUUAUCUAACAUUCUAACCGAAAAUGUCUACCUUUUGUGGAAAACUAGAAGAAAAGGAAUUAGCAUUCAUUGGAAUUGAUUCUUUUGAGUCACAUCUACUAAGUUGUUCAACUUUUAUGUUGUCCCAUUUUCAUAAAGAUCACAUGCGUGGUAUUCAAGAUCAAACUUUUCAAAUGGCAUUCAAUGAUAUUAAGAAUAACAUGAUGCUUUAUGCAUCGCCAUUGACAAUAACAUAUUUAAAGCGAAAUAAAACCAUUAAUCUCAGAGAAGAUAAGCUUAUAUCUCUAGAAAUUGGUUUCCCUAAUUUGUUAAAAGUGCAUUCAGAAAAUUUUGAAUACAUUUGCGUGACCCUAUUACCGGCUGGACAUUGUCCAGGAUCAGUCAUGUUUUUGAUUGAAGCUGGUCCACAUUGUAUUUUAUAUACUGGCGAUUUCCGAGUACAAUUACAAGAUUUCAAACAAUUUAAACCACUAUUGAUGGAUAAAGAAGGUAACUGUGGUGUAAAGAAUAUAUCUGCAUUGUAUUUAGAUACUACUUUUGCAUCUAAAAAAUAUUAUGAAUUUCCAAUGAGGAAGGAAAGUAGUGCUAACUUGAUAAAAGUAGUUGAAGAAUGGUUAAACCAAGAUCCUAACAAUAAAAUUUGUUUGUGGAUGCCUGGAUAUGUGGGCAUAGAAUAUGCCAUAGUUGAAGUAGCCAAACAUUUUAAAUGUGCUAUUCAUGUGCAUAAACAAAAAUAUGAAGAAUUGUACAGUUCAAUAGCAGAUUUAGACAAUUAUGUUACUCCAAUUUUUACUAAUAAUAGAAUACACGCAUGUUCAAAAAAUGAGUGUGACACUGACAGCAUUAACUGCAUGAAAUUAAAUAAAAAUGUAAAAUGUGUACAGCUUAAUGCGUUAGCAUUUACUAAGGACGUGAUAGACACAGGUGGUUAUGUAAUUAUUAAAAAUAACAUAACCAGAGUUUGUUAUUCAAGCCAUCCCAGUUGUAAAGAAUUAAGAGAAAUUGUGAGAUUCUUAAAUCCAGAAAAAUUAUAUUUUAAUGUAAUAGUUAAUCAAACAGUUAAAGAGAUUUAUGAUAUUUUAACUGAAAACAAUUGGACUCCUAGGACGCAAAAGGAAAACGUUAAAGACAAUACAAAAGUGAUUUUAAAACUAUCCAACAAAUAUAAAUACAAUCAUAGUGUACAAAAUAAAACAGAAGUAUUCAACAAAAGACCAAGACUUGAAUCGCCUGAAAGAGAAUGAAUCUUCAACCUAAUUAUUUACAUUUUGAAAAAAAAAUUUUUGUAUACUAUUAUUUAUUUAGUAGAAUUUCAGAUAUCUAAAAAACUAGUACAGCAAUAAAAAUACCAUGGAAGAAUUUGGAAGGGAACCAUGUCCAAUGAGAAUAUUAGAAGAUCUUGGUGGAGCUUUUGCCA